GACGAACGCUGGCGGCGUGCUUAACACAUGCAAGUCGAACGGUAAGGCCCUUCGCGGUACACGAGUGGCGAACGGGUGAGUAACGCGUGAGUAACCUGCCCUUCACUCUGGGAUAACAGUUGGAAACGGCGGCUAAUACCGUAUAUUCAGCUCCUGUCGCAUGGUGGGGGUUGGAAAGUUUUGGUGGUGGUGGAUGGGCUCGCGUCCUAUCAGCUUGUUGGUGGGGUGAUGGCCUACCAAGGCGUCGUCGGGUAGCCGGCCUGGGAGGGCGACCGGCCACAUUGGGACUGCGAUACGGACCAAACUCCUACGGGAGGCAGCAGUGGGGAAUAUUGCACAAUGGGCGGAAGCCUGAUGCAGCAACGCCGCGUGCGGGAUGACGGCCUUCGGGUUGUAAACCGCUUUCAGCAGGGACGAAGCGCAAGUGACGGUACCUGCAGAAGAAGCACCGGCUAACUACGUG
rnacentral:rRNA from 1 species